UACAGAGGGGGCGAGCGUUGUUCGGAAUUACUGGGCGUAAAGGGCGCGUAGGCGGCCUUCUAAGUCGAACGUGAAAUCCCCGGGCUCAACCCGGGAACUGCGUCCGAUACUGGAUGGCUUGAAUCCGGGAGAGGGAUGCAGAAUUCCAGGUGUAGCGGUGAAAUGCGUAGAUAUCUGGAGGAAUACCGGUGGCGAAGGCGGCAUCCUGGACCGGCAUUGACGCUGAGGAGCGAAAGCCAGGGGAGCAAACGGG
rnacentral:rRNA from 1 species